rnacentral:rRNA from 1 species
UACGUAGGGUGCAAGCGUUGUCCGGAAUUAUUGGGCGUAAAGCGCUCGCAGGUGGUUCAUUGCGUCGUGCGUGAAAGACCCCGGCUCAACUGGGGAGGGUCGUGCGAAACGGGUGAACUAGAGGCCAGUAGGGGGAUGCGGAAUUCCGGGUGUAGUGGUGGAAUGCGUAGAGAUCCGGAGGAACACCAGCGGCGAAGGCGGCAUCCUGGACUGGUCCUGACACUCAGGAGCGAAAGCGUGGGGAGCGAUCCGG